UGGGGAAUCUUCCGCAAUGGACGAAAGUCUGACGGAGCAACGCCGCGUGAGUGAAGAAGGUUUUCGGAUCGUAAAACUCUGUCUUUUGGGGCGAACGUGAGUAUGGUGAACAAUCAUAGUCAGUGACGGUACCAAAGGAGGAAGCCACGGCUAACUACGUGCCAGCAGCCGCGGUAAUACGUAGGUGGCAAGCGUUGUCCGGAAUUAUUGGGCGUAAAGAGCGCGUAGGCGGGAUAGUCAGUCUGUUGUAAAGUGCGGGGCUCAACCCCGUGAUGGCAAUGGAAACAGCUAUUCUUGAGUGCAGGAGAGGAAAGUGGAAUUCCCAGUGUAGCGGUGAAAUGCGUAGAUAUUGGGAGGAACACCAGUGGCGAAGGCGACUUUCUGGACUGUGUCUGACGCUGAGGCGCGAAAGCCAGGGGAGCGAACGGGAUUAGAUACCCCCGGUAGUCCUGGCCGUAAACGAUGGGUACUAGGUGUGGGAGGUAUCGACCCCCUUUCCGUGCCGGAGUUAACGCAAUAAGUACCCCGCCUGGGGAGUACGGUCGCAAGACUGAAACUCAAAUGAAUUGAC
rnacentral:rRNA from 1 species